GUGCAGCACAUAUACUAAAAUUGGAACCAUACAGACAGGAUCAGCAUGGCCUCUUCGAAAGGAUGACACACACACUUAUGAAGUCUCCAUAAUUUAG
ensembl:snRNA U6 U6 spliceosomal RNA